rnacentral:tRNA from 1 species
GCAGUGGUGGUUCAGUGGUAGAAUUCUUGCCUUCCAUGUGGUUGACCCAAGUUUAAUUCCUGGCCAGUGUC